GUUUUUAUUGUGGAAGCCAUGUAGAGGUGUAAUAAUUAGGAGGAUGCGUUAUUUGGGGCAAGGAAGGUAAUUAAAGUAACUAAUAUUGAAAAAGUUAAGACUUGUUGACUCAUUAGCUGCACAUGUGCCACACUGUUGUUGAUGAGUGAAAUUUCAGCUAUUAGAAAGUCGUUAAUUCUGCACUAAGUUAUUAGGAAUUAUCAAUAUUGUCUGCAUACUAAUAUGAUUAAUUUCAAGAAUAUACAGUACGUAUUUAAUAGCUUGUAAUGAUUAACUUUAUUUUUAGAUUCUUCAAAAAAUAAAGUCAAGUAAAACAAAAUCUGAUUCCAAGGCCCCAAGACUUCAACUUAACUUUAUAAAACAUUAAAUUGUGUCAUAAUAAAUAUAAAAUGAUUUGGAAAUAGAAAUUCCCUGAUAACAUUAGAUAUCUUUCAUACUAUGUGGUUUUCAAAUUCUUGCAUAUGAUAGUUUCGAACAUUUUAAACAAAUUUUUAAUGUGA